rnacentral:misc_RNA from 1 species
AAGUCGUAACAAGGUCUCCGUAGGUGAACCUGCGGAGGGAUCAUUAAGAUGCGCACAGCCUCUGCGCGCGGUGGCCCACCAGCUGCCGCACGCACGCCUUGCAUCCUCGAUAUUACAGCACCUUGCGUUCUCCUUCGGCGGGUCGACCCGCCGUCGGAACCAAAACAUUCACCUGUGAGUGGUAAAGGAUGUGUGAGGAUGGUCCGGCCUCUGCAAUGUAGAACCCAACCCUGGCAGUUGGCGGCCGCAAGUCAUGCUGGACCUCUGGUCGUUGGGAUUUCUCCCUCGACCCCCUUCCUUUGCUCGCAGCAAUACCCGUUCCGAAACAAACAAUCGUUACAACUUUCAACAAUGGAUCUCUUGGCUCUG